ACUCAUCAAGCCCUGCCUAUAAAGGAAGCAGGAAGUUAAGGGUUCCUUCUUUCAUCUUCAAGGCUGCACACAGCAGGCAGCAACAGAAAUUUUUCACUCCUUAUUCAAUCUGGUGAAGAAAUGAAAAGAGGAGUUUGUCUGACUGUCAACCUACGAGCACCAAACACGUGGAGGACUGUACACACACCUGUGGAGGAUGUAGAAGACCAUCUCUUUGCUUCCUGCACUGGCAGCGUGAUGACGUAACCUGCAGCCGGACGAGUCGAGUGACGUCAGGUCGGCUCCCUCCAGGUGGGGCUCCCUCCAGGUGGGGCUCCCUCCAGGUGGGGCUCCCUCCAGGUGGGGCUCCCUCCAGGUGGGGCUCCCUCCAGGUGGGGCUCCCUCCAGGUGGGGCUCCCUCCAGGUGGGGCUCCCUCCAGGUGCGGCUCCCUCCAGGUGCGGCUCCCUGCAGCUGAUGAUUCAAUUCAAAGACACAUGGGCAGCCUGACCAAAACAAGACGAAGAGCUGUUAACAUGUAUGCUACACCACGCUGCCUCACCUGCUUCCUUCAACAUUUGGUGUUUCCUCGCUCUGAACUGUGAAGAGUAGGAUCUGUGCUGCAGCUGGAAGGAUUUUCUUCAGAUUAAAGUUUACUUGAUAGCUGUUUUAGUUUCCUUUCAGUCAUAGUUUGUUGUUUUUAUCUUUCAGCUAUAGAUUUAGUUUAAAGUCUGUUUUCUUUAAUUUUCAUUUGCAGUUUUCUCUUAAAACACUGAUAACACAAUUUAAUAAUUUUAAAGUCUUAAUUUGUUUCAUGUUUGUGUUGUCAGCAUCUUCAAUUCCUAAUAGAUGUUUUGUUGUAGUUGUUUCCUUCUUUGUCACAAAGCUGUGACAUGUCUUCAUUUGAAGUUUGGAUUUUUUUUAUAAUAUUGAUAAAUUUCCAUUAGGAAACAUGCUUACUGGGUAGAUAACCAGACAAGUUUCCUCAGAACAAUGAAAGCUGUAAGCUACUAUAAAUAAAACACACCUGGCAGAUAACCAGAACAUAAUUACAGAAGUCACUGAUGCAGAGUGGACACAGCAGUAGUUUUAUUACAAUAAAAUAUUGAACAGCCA